GAAAUGCGAUAAGUAAUGUGAAUUGCAGAAUUCCGUGAAUCAUCGAAUCUUUGAACGCACAUUGCGCCCUCUGGUAUUCCGGGGGGCAUGCCUGUCCGAGCGUCAUUGCGAACCCCUCAAGCACGGCUUGUGUGAUGGGCCCUCCCGCGUCUUGGUCGUCAAGACGGGCCCGAAAUGCAGUGGCGGCUUCGCGGUUAUCCGAUCAGCCAGAGCGUAUGGGGACUUUCUGUCUGUCACACGCCCGCGGCGCGGACCGACGCCUGUCGACCUUCAUUCAUCGUUUUCUCGGUUGACCUCGGAUCAGGUAGGGAUACCCGCUGAACUUAAGC
rnacentral:misc_RNA from 1 species